rnacentral:rRNA from 1 species
AGUCGAGCGGCAGCACGGGAAGCUUGCUUCCUGGUGGCGAGCGGCGGACGGGUGAGUAAUGCAUAGAAAUCUGCCCGGUAGUGGGGGAUAACCUGGGGAAACCCAGGCUAAUACCGCAUACGUCCUACGGGAGAAAGCAGGGGAUCUUCGGACCUUGCGCUAUCGGAUGAGUCUAUGUCGGAUUAGCUUGUUGGUGAGGUAAUGGCUCACCAAGGCGACGAUCCGUAGCUGGUCUGAGAGGAUGAUCAGCCACAUCGGGACUGAGACACGGCCCGAACUCCUACGGGAGGCAGCAGUGGGGAAUAUUGGACAAUGGGCGAAAGCCUGAUCCAGCCAUGCCGCGUGUGUGAAGAAGGCCUUCGGGUUGUAAAGCACUUUCAGUGGGGAAGAAAGCCUUGGGGCUAAUACCCUCGAGGAAGGACAUCACCCACAGAAGAAGCACCGGCUAACUCCGUGCCAGCAGCCGCGGUAAUACGGAGGGUGCGAGCGUUAAUCGGAAUUACUGGGCGUAAAGCGCGCGUAGGCGGUCUGAUAAGCCGGUUGUGAAAGCCCCGGGCUCAACCUGGGAACGGCAUCCGGAACUGUCAGGCUAGAGUGCAGGAGAGGAAGGUAGAAUUCCCGGUGUAGCGGUGAAAUGCGUAGAGAUCGGGAGGAAUACCAGUGGCGAAGGCGGCCUUCUGGACUGACACUGACGCUGAGGUGCGAAAGCGUGGGUAGCAAACAGGAUUAGAUACCCUGGUAGUCCACGCCGUAAACGAUGUCGACUAGCCGUUGGGCUCCUUGAGAGCUUUGUGGCGCAGUUAACGCGAUAAGUCGACCGCCUGGGGAGUACGGCCGCAAGGUUAAAACUCAAAUGAAUUGACGGGGGCCCGCACAAGCGGUGGAGCAUGUGGUUUAAUUCGAUGCAACGCGAAGAACCUUACCUACCCU